rnacentral:rRNA from 1 species
AGAGUUUGAUCCUGGCUCAGAGCGAACGCUGGCGGCAGGCCUAACACAUGCAAGUCGAGCGGUCGUAGCAAUACGGCAGCGGCAGACGGGAGAGUAACACGUGGGAACGCGCCCUUCGGUUCGGAAUAACUCAGGGAAACUUGGGCUAAUACCGGAUACGCCCUUACGGGGAAAGAUUUAUUGCCGAAGGAACGGCCCGCGUCCGAUUAGCUUGUUGGUGAGGUAACGGCUCACCAAGGCGACGAUCGGUAGCUGGUCUGAGAGGAUGACCAGCCUCACUGGGACUGAGACACGGCCCAGACUCCUACGGGAGGCAGCAGUGGGGAAUAUUGGACAAUGGGCGCAAGCCUGAUCCAGCCAUGCCGCGUGAGUGAUGAAGGCCCUAGGGUUGUAAAGCUCUUUCAGCGGGGAAGAUAAUGACGGUACCCGCAGAAGAAGCCCCGGCUAACU